GUAUAUAAGCAGCUGCUUCCAUGGUGUUUACACAGCUCUCUGCAGUGACCUCAGCUUCCUUUUGAUUUUUAUACAAGACCAAUCGCAUACAGCAGACACAGAGACAACAAAGAAAUCAGGAAUGGAGUUUCUGAAAAUCACUCUUCUCAUCGCACUUUGUGCAGCUACAUCUGCUAAGCCGAUGGGUUGGCGCCGUCAUCAUGACGCAGACAUCUAUGACAAAGGCUCCAUACGCGGAUGGCUGCUUGGGCACAACAGGUGGUUUGACCUGUCCAACAGCGACUCUUCCGAAAGCCCAUCUUCUGAGGAGUCCUCUUCUGAGGAGAAGGAGGAGAUCGAAGUCACCGAGCAGCCCCCGCUGAUCAUGACCACCGCUGUGGUGCCGGUCAUCUCUACGGGAGAGGGGAGUACGCUGACCCCCGAGCAAGAGACGCCAGGCACAGACCUACCAACUGUGAUGGAGACAACGGCCCAGCCCCCAACAGUGAACAUGACCUUGCCCGUAGACGUCACAUCACCAUGUGGCGUGACCGAGUGUGUUACAGUGGAGAUUAUGACAGCAGUUCCCAUCACAGACAACAGAGGAGACAACUAAAUUGCAACUAUAUUGUUAUAUGGUUGUCACUUUCAGGUCACUUUUGUAACUUUUACCAUGUGAACAACGGAGUCAAUGAGCCUCAUUAGAUAGAUAUAUAUUAGAUAUAUUUAUAAAAACAACAGAAUGUGAAGACAUAACAACAAUCUCUUUGUAGAGCCUCAAUUAGACUAAAUUAACAAUACAAAGGAGGGCUAAUAAAUCAUUUUACUAUCAGGGAAUUAUCUUGUCA
rnacentral:lncRNA from 1 species